UGCGUAGGCGGGCUAAUAAGUCAGUGGUGAAAUCUCUCGGCUCAACCGGGAAACUGCCAUUGAUACUGUUAGUCUUGAGUUCGGUUGAGGUAGGCGGAAUGUGUAAUGUAGCGGUGAAAUGCUUAGAUAUUACACAGAACACCAAUUGCGUAGGCAGCUUACUAGACCGACACUGACGCUGAGGCACGAAAGCGUGGGGAGCGAACAGGAUUAGAUACCCUGGUAGUCC
rnacentral:rRNA from 1 species